CCUACGGGUGGCAGCAGUGGGGAAUAUUGGGCAAUGGAGGAAACUCUGACCCAGCAACGUCGCGUGAAUGAUGACGGUCCUCGGAUUGUAAAGCUCCUUUUUAAUGGAAGUAGAAAGUGACGGUACCUUAGGAAUAAGCCUCGGAUAACUACGGGCCAGCGGCCGCGGCAAUACGUAGGAGGCAAGCGUUAUCCGGAUUGACUGGGGGUAAAGGGUGCGUAGGUGGAUUGACAAGUUGGUAGCGUAAUUCCGGGGCUCAACCUCGGCACUACUGCCAAAACUGUCGGUCUUGAGUGCAGGAGAGGCAAACGGAAUUCCUAGUGUAGCGGUGAAAUGCGUAGAUAUUAGGAAGAACACCGGUGGCGAAGGCGAUUUACUGGACUGUAACUGACACUGAGGCACGAAAGCGUGGGGAGCAAACAGGAUUAGAUACCCUAGUAGUC
rnacentral:rRNA from 1 species